GGGAGUGUUGUCAAAUGUCAUGAAAAAUAGAUUGUUGCUCUUUUGAGAUGAGAGUUCAAUUCUCUCCAUUUCCC
rnacentral:tRNA from 1 species